rnacentral:rRNA from 1 species
AGAGUUUGAUCCUGGCUCAGAAUCAACGCUGGCGGCGUGCCUCAGACAUGCAAGUCGAACGCGAAAGCUCCCUUCGGGGAGCAAGUAGAGUGGCGCACGGGUGAGUAACACGUAGGUAAUCUACCUUCGGAUGGGGAAUAACAACCGGAAACGGUUGCUAAUACCGCAUAAUGCAGCGGCACCUAAUGGUGACAGUUGUUAAAGCGGGGGAUCGCAAGACCUCGCGUCUGAAGAGGAGCCUGCGGCAGAUUAGCUAGUUGGUAAGGUAACGGCUUACCAAGGCGAUGAUCUGUAGCCGGCCUGAGAGGGCGGUCGGCCACACUGACACUGACAUACGGGUCAGACUCCUACGGGAGGCAGCAGUCGGGAAUUUUGGGCAAUGGGCGAAAGCCUGACCCAGCAACGCCGCGUGAAGGAUGAAGUUUUUCGGAAUGUAAACUUCACAAGAAUGGGAAGAAUAAGGAGGGGUUAAUACCCCCUAUGAUGACGGUACCAUUUGUAAGCUCCGGCUAACUCCGUGCCAGCAGCCGCGGUAAUACGGGGGGAGCAAGCGUUGUUCGGAUUUACUGGGCGUAAAGGGCGCGUAGGCGGCCACCGCAAGUCGACUGUGAAAUCUCCGGGCUUAACCCGGAAAGGUCAGCCGAUACUGCGGGGCUAGAGUGCAGAAGGGGCAACUGGAAUUCUCGGUGUAGCGGUGAAAUGCGUAGAUAUCGAGAGGAACACCUGCGGCGAAGGCGGGUUGCUGGGCUGACACUGACGCUGAGGCGCGAAAGCUAGGGGAGCGAACGGGAUUAGAUACCCCGGUAGUCCUAGCCUUAAACGAUGAAUGCUUGGUGUCUGGGGUUUUAUAGUCCCCGGGUGCCGUCGCUAACGCUUUAAGCAUUCCGCCUGGGGAGUACGGUCGCAAGACUGAAACUCAAAGGAAUUGACGGGGACCCGCACAAGCGGUGGAGCAUGUGGUUCA